GCUCGCAGCGCAGCCUCUCAAAUGACAAUGCAUGUCAGCUUAAUUUUAUGGCGCACUCAGGAGAAAGUGCACCUGUAGGUAAUAGUAUAUUCCCAAAGCUUAGGUUAAUAGCUCAAGUAGUAUAGGGAUAAAGGAAUACAAUGCCAUUGAAAUGCAGCAAUGUCAAUCUGCUGCAGCUAAUUCUGAUUUCUAUGAUCCAGUUAUACAUGUCACCGAUGAAAAGGAUCAUUAAUGCAAGUCACUGAUCCAAUGAUGCAAACAAGAACUUUAGGAUCGAUUAGGAAAGACUAUUCAACACAUAUACUAAUUUAAACAUUGAAUCUUGACAAACAAAAUAGCUAUAGAGAGUAACUGAAAUAUGGUUUGGGAUGUAGUCAAAACUGGAACUAUUCAGGCUAAGAGACCAAGUUAAGGGUGAACAAAAUUUCAGAAAGCUCAAUCAACGCAACAUAAUUUGGUUCGAAAGUUGAACAUAAUCCCAAAAAUUACUACUUAUUUUAUCUCAUCUUACUCAAAUUAGCUUCUUGUUGUUUAUAAAUGAAACUAAACAUGUACAAAACUACAGUUUAUAAUCAGCACAGAGAAGACUUCCAGAAAAACUUAUUAUUAUUAUGAGCUUUGGGAAGAUAAAUUUGAAGUCAGCACACCCAUUGACUAGUUGUAUUGAAUCCUCAAUAGAACACCAUGUCUAACAGUGAAAGCCACUCUAGGUCGACUAUACGUUUCCAGUACAUCAGUCUACUGAGCUAUGAACUAACCUCCUGAACUUUACGGCUCAAGCAGGGUGCAGCAAAAAGAGCAUACAAGAACUAGAUGAAUCAUUAAAUCAACAGCUCCACAACAAACAGGGAUUAAGAUAAACAUUAGGGAAUGCCAAAGUCUGGGCUCAACGUCCUCCUAAUUUCAAAUGUUAAACAAAAACAAGAAUCAGGUCAAACCUUCAUGUUCUAGUAUCAUAACAGAAGUAUGAAAAAUAAUACGACUCGAGAGUAUAUAGACGUUCCUUUGACAUGAGAGCACUCCAGGAACAUAGACCAACAAAUAAGAAUUGCAGCACACUGUUGACAUGGGAAUGGACUAUAUUCCAACAAUUGGAACCUUGAACUUUCAUGAAUAACCACAAGACUUUCCUUUUGUUUCCAACAGUUUGAACUUGGUUUUUUAGUUGGACCUCAAGGGCAGCUAAACACAGUAGCAUACCAGAGAAAAACUCACCCAGAUCCUAGACUUUCUAGUACAUGAGUAGGCAUGGAAUUUAAGAUUAGAAAAACACACGAGUCUAGCAAUAGCACUCCCUUUGAUAGCUCAAUAAUUUAGACUAACUAUAGCUUUAAAACAAGCAUUGAAUUGCUUAUCUCCCAACAUUCAUAGCAGAUCUUGAUAAACACCACUGACUAAAUGACACAGCAAAAGAAACAGUCGUUUGCUGAUUUCAUAAGAAUAUAUUGAAGCUAAAGAUGAACAACAAAUCCUACAUUAAUUUAGGCACAACAAAUUACAACUCAAAUUAGCAGGGAAAGACCUGACAAUGUUCAGCAAUGCAGCAACUCAAGCAGACAUCCAACCUCAAACAUGAUGUCACAUUCCAAUAACAGAACCAUUCAAAUAGAUAUUUAAACUAAGAAAAUUAACUCGAGAUCUUGACAUAAAUGAAAACUCGACAUUAUGAUAGCAAUUAAAGCAUAAGCAUAGAGGACGACACUUCAAACUCAGUUUUUACUGCCUGAACAUAAUCAACUACAUCACACCACUGCAAAGAGAUUCACCAGCAAAAAAUUCGAUCAUAACACAAAACAUACCACUAUAAACUAAAUCUUAUAGCUCAAAAGCACCAAAACAAAACAUAGUCACAUAGGACAAUAGAGAGGGAAAUUGAACCUGAAUUUGCAAAUCUCUUUUAUAACAAUUAUAAACUCGACCAAACGACAGUAGAAAACCAAGCUCGAACUUCAAUUUGUAUCUCCUUGGAACUCACAUCCGGACUCAAAAAUAAAAAUUAUAUAUAUGUAUCUCUUAAACUUUGAAAGAACUCUUCAAAAAAUAAAUGGAAUUGGAAAACCAGAAAAAAUCGAAGCCUUUCAACUUUUCUCUGAAACUUUUUCCCCCCUUUCUAAAAAUUGAAACUGGCCCUCUUUGAAAAUGAAUCCCUUGAUGAACGUAGGGCUCAUAUUAAAUGAAAUCAAUAUGUCUCACACUCGUCCAGCGAAUCCGAUCCAGAACCUUCCAAUUUAUGAGAUAUAUCAAAUUCGAGUGGUGAGAGAGGAGAGGAAUAUCGCGUCAGAAACCAUUAGAACUGUAAGGGGAGGAAUUGGGGAAAGUAUGGUUGAUGGUUUGAGCUUCAAUCGCCUAAACUUAGGCGUUUGAGAGUCAAUUUAGGUGAGGAAGAUAGUAAACGCUGAGGCGUAUACAAUCUUAGGAGAUUAGGGCUCUGUGAGUGAGUUCUCGUG
rnacentral:lncRNA from 1 species